CUACUUACAGAGAGGUGACGAAAAUGACAUCCGAUCCAUCAAUUACUACCCAGAGUCGGCUUCUUUUGACCUCCGCUACUAUCCUUACUAUGGCAAACUGACUCAUCUCCGGGCUGACACGUGGCCCCUGACCGCUGAGGAGCGCAACAAGUUGCUGGUCGCGACCUCGCAGCGCAGGCAGCUGGAGGCCCAGAGGGAGGAGGCGCAGAAUGCUUCGUCAGGCGGUGUGCAGUACGCGCAAGGAGCCCAGGAUCCCUGGGCCCAGGUUUUUCAACCCCCAGCCCCCGUGCCAUGUCCCGGGCACAUGCCAUACCCCAUGCCCUUCCCAUACCCACCACCUCC
rnacentral:lncRNA from 1 species